rnacentral:lncRNA from 1 species
GCUUUAAUGUUCUGUUUUGAAUUUUUGUGUUUCUGCCUUGUUGAGCCUUCUAAAAAGAGCUCAGAGAGUGUGAGAGUGUUCAGGGUUUUCUCAUAGGAAGAGGCAAGAAGAGAUGAGACGCUUUCUUGGGGAUUUUUAUGUUAGUAAGAACUCUGGGUCCUUUUUUGUACCUGUAUCUCUUGUCUUCUCUUUCCUUCUUCCUAACUUUGAAAUGUUUGUAUCAGGAGUUAGGCUACAUGUAAGUAGGCCAGAGGAGAUUCUAAGUCUUAAAAGACUAGCAGCUAGUCUCAAAAUUAUAAGGUUGUUCAUUAUGUAUGUGAUAUGAGUCUAAAGAAACAAAAGUCAGAAUGAGAGCAUUCAAGGAAAGUUAGUUGGCUAUUAACCUGUUAGGGGACGAAGGACAUGUUUCUGUGGAGUCGGGAAGUAUUACUUUGUGUACGAUAGAUAUCCUGUCGUACUGUUCUGCCAAGAUCACAGGCACAAAUCACAUUCUCGGACUUCAGAGAGAGGUAAAUUGCCUUCUUUCUUUGGUGGAUCUUUUUAUUAAUGUUUUAUGUGUACAGAUAUUUUGCCUUCAUGUAUGUCUCUGCAGCACAAGCAUGUCUGGUGCCUGCAAAGGACAAAAGGGGGCACUGGAUCCUCUAGAACUAGACAUGGAACCAGUUGUGAGUUACCAUGUAGAUGCUAGGAGUCAAACCCCAGUCUUCUAGAAGAGCAACCAGUGCUCUUCUUAACUGCAGGACUGUCUCUCCGGCUCCAGGUUUUUGCUGGAUUUUAUGUUAGUAUUUUUACUGUUCUCUAAUAAUGUACUAUAAUUUGAAAAUUCCUGUACUUUGAGAUUUCAAAGUUUUAUAAAUCAUUAGUUCUCCAGGCAUAUGUACUUUUUUUUUUUUUUAACAUUAGAUUAUUGUCCUGACCCUGUUUUUAAACAGAGAUAGGAGCUGGAGAAAUGGCUCAGUGGUUGAAGGGUACUAGCUGCUCUUUCAAGGGAUCCAGGUUCUAUUCCCAGCACCCACAUAGUGGCUUACAAAUGCCUCAUUCUAAUUCCAGGCGAUCCAACAGCCUCUUCUGGCCUCAUAGGCACCAACUGCACACAUGAUACACCAUUUCAACAACCAUAAACAUAAAAGUUAAAAUAAAAAAUUUUAUGUAUAUAAAUAAAUAGGCUUAAUUAUGUAGAGCCGUAGUUUGCUUCAUGUUGAGUAUUUUACUUUUAUUACUAUACGAGUAAUAUUAAGAGAGCAUUUUCAGUAACUUAGCACUUCUCUGCCACUUUACUGGUGUUUUUGUUUACUCAUAGCUGAAUAUUUGAAAUCUUUCAUUUGUGAAUGCAGUAAUUUUUCUACAUGUCUGUUUUUAUCUGAAUAAUAACUGUCAAGCUAAUGAAAUGUGAUUUAUUUAUUUUUAUUUUAUGUGUAUUAAGUGCUUUCCUGCAUUAAUAUAUAUGUGCCAUGUAUGUGCCUAGUACCCACAGAUGACAGAAGAGGGCGUUGGAUCCCUGGAACUGGAGUUGUGGGCUGCCAUGUGGAUGCUGGGAACUGAACCCAUGUCCUCCACAAGAGCAGCCACUGCUUUCUACCCACUGAGCUACCUCUCAAAUUUGUGUACCAUCUGAAUUUCAGUUGCAGGGGUGUUAUAAUAGCAAAAAGAUUGAGAAAGUAUAUUCCCAAACAGAUUAUCAUUAUCUGUGUGAUUAAUUUUUUAAAAAGUUUUCAGCUUGGCUUUUUGUUAAAAUUUGUUCUUAAAAAAAAUAAUAUAAAACAAGUCAUGGCGGCACACUCCCUAAAUCCUAGCGCUCAGGAGGCAGAGGCAGGCGGAUGGCUGAGUUCAAGACUCCAGAACAGUCAGAGUUACAUAGAAAAACCCUGUCUCCAAAAACCAAAAAUUAAAGUAAAAUAUAAAGAAAGAAAUAAUAUUAAGCCAGGUGUGGUAGCACACAUCUUUAAUCCCAGAAGCUGGUAGUUUUCUGAGUUGCAGGCCAGCCUCAUCUACAUAAUGAAUUUGAAUUCUAGGGCAGCCAGGGAUAUGUAGAGAGACCCCUGUCUU